GCUUGUCUCAAAGAUUAAGCCAUGCAUGUCUUAGUGUAAAUAACUCUUAUGAAACUGCGAAUGGCUCAUUAAAUCAGUUAUCAAAUACGUGAUGGUCGCCUACUACAUGGAUAACCGUAGUAAUUCUAGAGCUAAUACAUGCACAAAGGCCCACUCACGUGGGUUGUGAUUAUUAGAUUCAAACCGGCCUCGUUCUGGUGAUUCAUGAUAACUUUGCGAAUCGCAUAGCUUUAAUGCUGGCGAUGGGUCAUUCAAAUUUCUGCCCUAUCAACUUUCGACGGUAGGAUAGAGGCCUACUGUGGUGAUAACGGGUAACGAAGAAUAAGGGUUCGAUUUCGGAGAGGGAGCCUGAGAAACGGCUACCACAUCCAAGGAAGGCAGCAGG
rnacentral:rRNA from 1 species